GUGCCUUUUGUAGAAUGAACCGGCGAGUUACGAUUUGAUGCAAGGUUAAGCAGUAAAUGUGGAGCCGUAGCGAAAGCGAGUCUGAAUAGGGCGUUUAGUAUUUGGUCGUAGACCCGAAACCAGGUGAUCUACCCUUGGUCAGGUUGAAGUUCAGGUAACACUGAAUGGAGGACCGAACCGACUUACGUUGAAAAGUGAGCGGAUGAACUGAGGGUAGCGGAGAAAUUCCAAUCGAACCUGGAGAUAGCUGGUUCUCUCCGAAAUAGCUUUAGGGCUAGCCUCAAGUGAUGAUUAUUGGAGGUAGAGCACUGUUUGGACGAGGGGCCCCUCUCGGGUUACCGAAUUCAGACAAACUCCGAAUGCCAAUUAAUUUAACUUGGGAGUCAGAACAUGGGUGAUAAGGUCCGUGUUCGAAAGGGAAACAGCCCAGACCACCAGCUAAGGUCCCAAAAUAUAUGUUAAGUGGAAAAGGAUGUGGCGUUGCCCAGACAACUAGGAUGUUGGCUUAGAAGCAGCCAUCAUUUAAAGAGUGCGUAAUAGCUCACUAGUCGAGUGACACUGCGCCGAAAAUGUACCGGGGCUAAACAUAUUACCGAAGCUGUGGAUUGUCCUUUGGACAAUGGUAGGAGAGCGUUCUAAGGGCGUUGAAGCAUGAUCGUAAGGACAUGUGGAGCGCUUAGAAGUGAGAAUGCCGGUGUGAGUAGCGAAAGACGGGUGAGAAUCCCGUCCACCGAUUGACUAAGGUUUCCAGAGGAAGGCUCGUCCGCUCUGGGUUAGUCGGGUCCUAAGCUGAGGCCGACAGGCGUAGGCGAUGGAUAACAGGUUGAUAUUCCUGUACCACCUAUAAUCGUUUUAAUCGAUGGGGGGACGCAGUAGGAUAGGCGAAGCGUGCGAUUGGAUUGCACGUCUAAGCAGUAAGGCUGAGUAUUAGGCAAAUCCGGUACUCGUUAAGGCUGAGC
rnacentral:rRNA from 1 species